UGUUAUUUUCCUUAAAUAAAUAAAAAUAUUUGUACAAUUUAUGGUUGCAUUUCAUUUUCUGUAAUACAAUUGUAUACAUAAAUACAGUCUGUAAUGACCUAUUUUUAAAUUUUAAUUGUUACUGGCUUAAACGGGUGAGUUUACUAUGCGUUUUGAAUGAUUUCCUCAUGUGUUAUUAUUAUUAAAAAAGGAAGGCAUAUUAAAAAUGAAAGAGCAAUCCAUUCUAUCCAAUGUUGGUCAAUAAGAUUUGAAAUAUUUCUUUAGCUAGUUUUGGCCAGAAAACUUUUAAAUGAGGGAUCUGAAGGUAUCUAGAGAGAAUGACUAGAUCCGUGGCGGAUCAGCUGCUUUGUAAACGGGUCCUGAACGGGUCUGCCCCGGAUCUGGUCCGGAUCCGCCAUCCUUAUCUGUUCUGGAUCCGGAGUCAAUUUGCUAUCUGGGAAGGAGCGUAACGUUGAAGGCGGCAUUUGAACCUGCAUCGAACACGGAGAUCCAUGUCGGAAGAUCGCGGUGAUUUCAUCGACCAAAAUAUCAAUAAUCUGGUGAGAUUACAGAGUUUCUUCAAAGUCAUGCACAGUUUUAACAUCUAUCAGUGAUGUUGAUGUAUACUAACGUUAAACGCCACGGACUUACACCACAUGAAGUAAGAUGAGCUGUUAUAAUUAUAGCUGUUUGGGCUACCAGACAUGCUGGUGUGACUUUUAUGUGUGUUUUAGCCUAUCAAUGAGGUAAAUCCAGAUUAUCAUUGAGUUGUAGAUAAAUGUUUACAUUUUUUUUAUAUAUAUUUUUUCAUUACAGAUGCAGAUGCAGGGUAACGUUACCAUCCAUUAUCACACUGCUGUUCAAGAUAAUAUCCCAGGAUGUAUGUCUCAGAAACAGACGCUUUGUGGGUAUAAACCCAGAAAAAGGGACAAAGGCUGCAAAGGGGAAAAAAGAUGAACUGUCAAUUCACACGUCACCAGCCUCUUGCGCAAGAAAAUGGACUUUCAGUGGGAUUUCAUUUGAAAAUGUUGAGUAGGAUGUAUACAUUACACAUAUGUUCAAACAGCAAUGACUAAGGGGACUGGGGAAAUUCAUUCUAAUGUUCAUUCUCAUCUGCCUUUCAAAGUGAGAAUGCUGAACUUCUCUUCUGUGCUCUUUUGCCAUUCUUUUUUUUGUUCUUUCAAUGAAUUGUGCUCAUCACACUUUCUAUUAUUUUAUGUUAUUCUGUCCGUUUUAAGCUCUGUUUCUAAAAUUAGCUUUUGUUAGGUCAAGCCAUGUGAUGUAAUUUUGGAUUGAAAUUUGAAAUUAUGGAAAUCCUAUCUCUCCCUCUCUCUCUCUCUCUCUCUCUCUCUCUCUCUCUUUCUCUGUCAUAUACAGACCCAAGACUUUGCAAAGGAUCCUCAUUGUAUGCUUUGAGUAAAUGGUUUGUGGUCUAAGCAGUGACAGUGUUUUUAUUGUUUAUUGCUCUUUAAUGAUGAAGAGUUCCAUUAAGUGUUAACUAUUGGUUUGAAUGUAUUCAUACAUGUUGAAUUUUAGUGGUUUAGGUAACACUGCAUAUGAAGUUCAGUAUUUUGUUAUAAUGAAAAAUGUAUUUGGGUUUAAAAAUGUAUUUGUUACUUUUUAAACCAUGAACAUGAGAAAACGAAAUUUGUUUGUGAUUAAUCUGAGCCUAUGUGUAACAUUUUUAUGUGACCAGGAGUCACAGUGUAUAUCCUUUGAGUCUUUUUAAAUGAAUUUUAGCAGUUCAAGGAACAUUAAAUGUUGAGGUUUUGGGCCCUAUCUUGCACCAACGCAGCGCAAAGCCAAACGCAAGUGUCUUUGCUAGUUUAAGACAGACGCAGUUGUUAUUUUCCGUCCAGUGACCACAGAUGUCGGCAAUGAACAUGAUAUACAGUAUAUUUUUGUGAUUGGUCUGAUCCAUGUGUGCCUACAUUUGUAAGUAUUUACCUUUCAGUGUUUGUAUUACAAUAAAAAAAAGUUAAUUUCAA